UCGCCUUGUUUAUCAAAAACAUGUCUUUUUGAAAUUAAUUUAAAGUCUAACCUGCCCACUGAAAUUUUAAAUGGCCGCAGUAUUCUAACUGUGCAAAGGUAGCAUAAUCAUUAGUCUUUUAAUUAAAGGCUAGAAUGAAUGGUUGGAUGAAAUAUUAACUGUUUCAAAUAAAUUUAAAAUAUAAUUUUAUUUUUUAGUUAAAAAGCUAAAAUAUGAUUAAAAGACGAGAAGACCCUAUAAAUCUUUAUAUUUAAAUUAUUUUAAUUAUUUAGAUAAAUUAAAUUAUGAUUAUUUUAAAUAUUUUAUUGGGGUGAUAUUAAAAUUUAAUAAACUUUUAAUUUAUAGUUAACAUAAAUUAAUGAAUUAUUGAUCCAUUAUUAAUGAUUAAAAAUUUAAGUUACUUUAGGGAUAACAGCGUAAUUUUUUUAGAGAGUUCAUAUUGAUAAAAAAGAUUGCGACCUCGAUGUUGGAUUAAGAUAUAAAUUUAGGUGCAGUAGUUUAAAUUUUAAGUCUGUUCGACUUUUAAAUUCUUACAUGAUCUGAGUUCAAAC
rnacentral:rRNA from 1 species